ensembl:miRNA MIR124-3 microRNA 124-3
AAGGCCCCUCUCUUGGCAUUCACCGCGUGCCUUAAUUGUAUGGAUAUUAAAUCAAGGUCCGCCGUGAACACGCAGAGUGGCGGGCC